rnacentral:rRNA from 1 species
UUUAAUUUGAGAGUUUGAUCCUGGCUCAGGAUGAACGCUGGCGGCGUGCUUAACACAUGCAAGUCGAACGAAGCACUUACGACAGAACUUUUCGGAGGGAAGAUGUUUGUGACUGAGUGGCGGACGGGUGAGUAACGCGUGGGUAACCUGCCUUGCAGAGGGGGACAACAGUUGGAAACGACUGCUAAUACCGCAUAAUAGAUCAAGACCGCAUGAUCAUGAUCUUAAAGAUUUAUCGCUGCAAGAUGGACCCGCGUCUGAUUAGCUAGUUGGUGGGGUAACGGCCUACCAAGGCAACGAUCAGUAGCCGGCUUGAGAGAGUGAACGGCCACAUUGGGACUGAGACACGGCCCAGACUCCUACGGGAGGCAGCAGUGGGGAAUAUUGCACAAUGGGGGAAACCCUGAUGCAGCGACGCCGCGUGAGU